GUAGGGAAUAUUGGACAAUGGGCGAAAGCCUGAUCCAGCCAUGCCGCGUGGUAGAUGAAGGCCCUCUGGGUUGUAAAUACCUUUUAUCUGGGAAGAAAUAUCUCGUUCUCGAGAAACUGACGGUACCAGAUGAAUAAGCACCGGCUAACUCCGUGCCAGCAGCCGCGGUAAUACGGAGGGUGCAAGCGUUAUCCGGAUUUACUGGGUUUAAAGGGUGCGUAGGCGGAAUUGUAAGUCAGUGGUGAAAGCCCCGAGCUCAACUUGGGAACUGCCAUUGAUACUGCUUUUCUUGAAUACGAUUGAGGUAAGCGGAAUGUUGCAUGUAGCGGUGAAAUGCUUAGAUAUGUUACAGAACACCAAUUGCGAAGGCAGCUUACUAAGUCGUGAUUGACGCUGAGGCACGAAAGCGUGGGUAGCAAACAGGAUUAGAUACCCGUGUAGUCC
rnacentral:rRNA from 1 species